CCUCUCUUCCCAUCUCUUCUGUGCAGAAAGUUAUGUUCUUUUUUACUCUUCUGUUUUGUUAUUUUUGUAAUUUAUUCGCUUCUUUUAUGUAAUUUGCAUCUGGGUUUUUGAAAAUUUUCAAUUUGAUUGUUUGGGUUAGUUUGGGCAGUGUGGAGAUUGAUAAAAAUGCUUCCUUUGUCUAUGUAGAGAGGGAGAAUAGUGCAACAAAAGAAGCCAUGUCAAUUCUUGAAAAAGUAAUGAAUUCUGCUGGUUUUGUUUCUUCUCAGUUCUCGGGAACAAUGUCAAAAUAAGGAAAUUUUAGACAUAAAGAAAAUUCAUGCUAACUUGAGAAUCAGGACAGUUGAAUUAUUUUACUGAAGUUGGUUUGGUGGGAUUCUUAAUUUCUUAGCAAGGUUGGGAACUUGGCGCUUUUGUAAGUGAAUAAGACUGUAGCGGGCUUGAAUUACCGGUAUAAUGUGUUUGCUGCUGUAAUUGUUUUGGUUUAAGAUGAAUAGUAGCAAUGUUAUGGAAUAGAUGUUUGAAUGAUUAAGCGUAAGUAAACAGCAAAUGGGAUGGCAACUAUUAGAUAAAACUCGUGAAGUUUGGAGAACUGGGUGAGCUAUGCAGAAGGUAGGUACAGGCAUGUUGUAUUCUUCAAACGCAUUAGGUAUUAAGGGAGGGAGGAAAAACAAACAAACUAAAGUUGUUUUCCGUUUUAAAUGUGAUAAAUGUAUGGAAAUGAAGUGUAAUGCUAAUGGUCUUCAUUUGUGAGAAAAAUGGCAAAAUAAUGCAGUCGACACUGUUUUCAUCUGUUGAACUUAGUUUAGGAAAAACGUUUAUCAUUUUUGGGUUCUAAACUUGAUUAAGAUUUCAGUUGGCAGACAACCAGAAGGAUAAGAUGUCAAUUAUCCUGCCAAUAGGUUAUUAACAUCUGAGUCUAGUAGCUGGCUUUAAAUUUUUUUGCUGAUGAUCUUCCACUUCACGCAUUUAUUUGUAAUUAGUGCAUUGUUAGGUCACAGAUUAAUAUGGUUUAUUCCUUGUUUACAUCUCUUAUUCACCUUGCUUUGCUCACACUCUGUCAUUUGUCACUUGGUUCAAUCAAGUGACUCCGCUUAAGUCUGCUGUGCCUUCUUGAGUAAAUGACAUGAUUUGUCAUCCACAAUGCAACACUGGUUUAGUUCUUUAUCACCCACAUCUUUCCAGUGUGUAUAUAUGAAUGGGUUACUAUUUUCCUUGAAUUUGAAGAGGCAUAUGUAUACAUAGUCAGCUUAAGCUUGAGUACACUACUUAUAUAGGUUAAGGACAAAUUCACCUUACUAAUAUAGAAGUUUUGCAUUGUUUUCUUUGAAAAUAAAACAGAAACAAUUUAUAGAAGAUAUGCAAUAUUUUGUACCGUAAGAAAAAAAAUUAUAAAUAUAAAAGCAAUUUAAUAAGGAUAUGAUUAUAUUUCUCUGGAGAAUGACAUGGUCUUAAGAAAUCAUAAUUCUGUUAGGAGAAGACCAUGAGUCCAAUUUUGUAAGACAUUUUAGACAUCAGUAUUGCAUGCAUGAAUUAUUUAGCUGAUUGCCAAUCAUGUAGCAUAUGGUCUUAAGAAAUAGAUAUGUAAGCAUCAUUUUUGCUUUUAAAAAUAGAAAGGCAUUCUUUGUUGCCGUAUCUUUGGAUAAUGGUCCUUUGUCCAUACUUAAAGGAACGUAUAUAAGCGUGAGAUGUUGCACUCUUCUAGGACUAUAAGGAACCAAAUAAUAGGAGGACGAUUUAGAGUUUGCUUAAAAACUUGUGGCAGACAACUUUUAGGAAUUGUUUUUGGAUAUAUUUACACCAGAAGCCAAGCAUUGCCGCAGCUUAUCACCAUGUGAAAGAGAUGAAUGAGUUUCAGUCAUAUUUGAAGUCCCCUCCAAAGCCUGUAUCAUUUUGUGUGUAGCAAAAGGGAGACAAAGCGUGAACCAACUUGGAGAAUGGAGAGUACUCUAAAUGCUGAAGGUUUUGAAAGUUUGGAUGCGAAUAUGUCAGCUAAGAGCAGAAUAUCUGUAAGUACAGAGGAGGAACUUGGCAACAGUAUGGAGAGGAAAGAUGCAGACGAUGACUUUGGAGAACCUGGUUUUGGCUUCUUAAAAGAGAUGAUUUCAAGGCAAGAUUUGGUGGAUUGCAAGUUACAAAGAAUUGCUGGAGAAAACUUGUACAACCCAAAAUAUUAGCAGCGGACAAAGGAUGAAAUGGGAUUUCCCUUGCAAAAAUGAAUAGAUAGCUGUGUUUCAUUGGACAAUUAGCUGUUAGAAUGAAUGAACAGAAUGUACUCUAAAAAAGUUGUACAAGUUUUAAGUAAUUGUGUUGUUUCAAUUGUCUAUUCUGUCUUUCAACAGCCCCAUAUUGAUGUAUGGUGUGUGAACUGGAGAAGAACAAUAAACAAUUCUUUUCUUAAUGACAAAAGCAAUGAAAGAAUCAGAAAGAUAAUUGUAAUUUGGUACUUACAAAAAAACAUGUAGAUAUUAUGGUGUCUUAACUUCCCCGUUAAGGUAGACAGUGAAGCAGAAUAUCUUAGAUCACACACUACAUUCAGCUAGCUAGGGCUUGAUUAUCAAAAUUACAGAAAUCAUGUUUAAAAAAUAAGUUUCAAAAUGCACUAAGAUAGAGGACAUAUUGCUCAUUAAUUAACUUGGAUAUCAAACAAAAUAUGAUUGUGCUUCCUCUAUUCAGAGAGGAUUAAAACAUAAAACCCAAAAAUAAGGAACUUAAACAAUUUUGGUCUGUAGUCGGUUUGGCAGAGAACUUGAGUCAGUUUGGCAUGUAGUCAACUUAUCACAGGCUGGUGGUGGUGGUAAACUCCGUGCUUGGAAACUCAAGAAGCAAAUGAUGGCUUUAAGCUUAAGGGUAACUUUUGGUUCCUGUAGAUCCCCAAUUUAUGGCUUGGGAGGAUUCUAUUUUCACCUUACUGAAGAUGGUCCUAAUUAUGUCAUGAAGCCUGACGAUGAAGAGGAUCACGCAGUUUACUUCAACAAUGCCCCUCCAAGCCUGAGAAUGGGUGGCUCAAAGUUCCUCCCAUGCUUGCAUGCAGAUUUUUGCCCACUCACCAAGCAAUCAGUGGUAGCAAAAUCUAUGUCCUUAUGGAAUGAGGUAGACGAUCAAUGGGCAUCCUCUGAGCUGUAAUUUUCCAUUUGGUGAACCUCCUGUUGAAGGAUCUCUCUCUUUCCCUCCAUUGGAACAAGAAUUUGCCCCUCAGCGCCACAUCCUGUUUCCUAUCGGUGCUGGGGAUCAAGUUGUUAUUGUGUGUUUUGAUGCGGAAAUUGACAAAAGUGUUCAAGGUUUGUCGAGGAUCGCGAUUGGUUCAUUAUUAUCCCUCGUGUGUGGAAGGGAAUUACUUGUUCACAACUUUCGGCAUCAGUGUUUUUGCCUAUCAUAUAUUUGACAGGAGUUUAUUUGAAUGACCUGCUCCGUUCUGUAGUAAAGUCAAAGGGAUUGCCUGACCAGAAGUGGAUGGCAAGAAUAAGCAUAUGAGGAUGUGUAUCUAUAUACGGUGAGAUUUUUUUUUCCCUUUAAUUCUAUUCUGUAAUAGUACAUAUGUUUGGCAAAUUGGUGAACUCAAAUGUUUUUUGCCACUGCACUUUUAAUACCCCGUUGUUGUAUGAA